rnacentral:piRNA from 1 species
UGGUUUGCAGAGUAUGACUGGGAGGU